UUUUUGUUUUUUCUUUUUCUUUUUCCCCAUUCUCUUCUUCUUCUCCCUCUUUUUCUCCCUUCUCCAUUUCUUUGAACAUAGUUUUCCUAUGUUUUUCAUUUGUUAAAACUAGUCCCUAUACUUUUAAUUUUUUGAAAAUUUUAAUUUUUUCUUUUUAUUUCUUUAUUUUCAUUUUCUUCUUCUUCUUUAUUUUUCUCUCUUCCAUAUUCUUCACUGUAGAAAUAAAAUCUUUGCUCACAAAAUAAACCAAGUCCUUGUUUCUUUCACAUGAUUCCUAAAUUGAAUUUCACUCAAAACCGAAUAUCAAUUAUUCUUAAACAAAUCUCGAUUUGAAUAUAACCUAAUUUUGAAACUAAAAUUGGAUCUAAUUAACCAAUAUAAGAAACAAUAUCAUUACCAAAUCUAAACAUAAAUUGAAUUCUUUAUAUUCAAA
rnacentral:lncRNA from 1 species